UGGUCUAUCAGGAAUCUGCUUUAUUAUUUCCAAGGUCUUGGUUCCUGCUGAGGAGAUUGGUCUUACACGUUAUUUUUCAGGUUCCAGAGUUGAAACCUGCAGUCACCUGUACUAUCACUUUGUGGUAACCAUAAACCAGAGAUCAAUAUCUUAAUGUGGCUUUGAAGCUGCAUGACUCCAAAUUGACUCUGGACUCUUCCUACCUCAAAUGUUAAAUGCAAGAACCAGGCCACCAUUAUAACAAGACAAAAAUCACCCACUGUAUUUCACAUCUAAUGUCAAACGAGGCCUUGCCACUAAGACAUUUCUUUUAAUUAGUUGUCCAGUUUUUUUUUUACAGUGCCUUCUAAGGAUGUAGAACAGGCCCCUGUACUUUUACAAAAGGAAUUGAAACUACAACCCUCUUGAUGUUCAGUUGAUAGCUCUGGGAUUAGCUGAUGCUUUAUGUGUUGUUCCCAAAUUUCCAACUGUGGACUACGUUCAUAGCCUGGGUGAAAUUCAUAUUUUAUUAUUGUAGCUAAGUAUUUGCUUGAUUGGGAAUGCACAAAUUACUUUGCUGUGUGAACUCAAGAUGAGAGGCCUGGGGCAGAAGUUUGGUCAGCUUUCCAGCCUUGGUAUGCAGUGGUACAUGUUGCAUGAGGAGUGAUCAGAGAUGGCAUCAUAGCUUUCCCAUACAAUGUACAUGCAAAUUAUAUUGCAAGCAGAAACAGAUUAUUUCCAAAUAUGAACAUCUGAAAAUUUCCUAGAAACUGGAAGCAGAAUAGGUUCUAUAAAAACUCGGCUUUAGCCUUUGUCCUUCAGUAAGAAAAUGCUUUUGUAGUCACUUUAAUCAAUCCAGAAUAAUUAUUACUUCCAGUUUCUGACUGACAGCAUGCCAUAAAAUUCUCCUCUUUAGCAGAUCCUGAAAAGGUUUUACAUUCACUCCUUGUUUAGCCUCUUCCUUAGCAACCAUUUUCAAAUAUGACUGUAAUAAGUGGUGAUUUAAGAAAUCAACGAAUGAACACAUUUAUCACCAAAUUUCAUGUGCUUUGCAAGGCACACUGGAGUAAAAGUAAAACUGUUGACAUAGCUCCAAGAGAAUUUCAUCUGCAUGAAAAGGCAGUAAACUAUUGACCUUUCAAUCUCUCUCUCUGUCACAUGUUUCCUUAGGAUCAUUUUACCUAACAAUCUGGUUCUUGGAAUGGCGUGCAGUCGUUAAAAUGAGAUGUGGAUGUAAAAUGUCUUAUUUUAGCCACUGUGACUGUAUAACUCUGUAUGUAUGCGUGCGCACGCAAAAUAUGAUUAACAUUAAUUUGCAUUAAGUAUCACUGAAUAUUUUAAAAAUUAACAAAGUGCACAGAGAAAUAACAUCAACAAGAAAGCAGUUUGACAGGUAAUUGACAGGCAACACCUGCCACCUAGACCCAUAUUAAUUAUUUGGCAAGGAAGUUAAUCACCUUUUCAAAGCAUCAAAUAUUAAAUCUUGCUAAAUACAAAGUGAUUGUUCCUUGAUAAAUAUUCAGUUUUGGAAGAGUAACCAAUAUAAGUCCUUUCUUUCCAACACCUCUCUCUAAGAGGGAGGGAAAUUAUACAUUUGGCUUCCUUUGCUAUUCAAUCCUUAGGUUUCCUGGCACAGGAUUAAGACUGGAAAUUGGAUUCUUAGGACACAUUUGGAUGUCCUGAAGAUUUAUGUCUUUCUUGAGGUCAUGUGAGGCAAGAAGCUAGAAAUCAGUUGAUCUGUGCGAGUUUACUGUAAUUUCUGCAAUGUAUGCAGAUAUCUAAUAUCCCAAAAAAACAAACUCCAGAGAUAACUGGUUGCUAUACUGAUCUUUUCAGCCUUGGUUUAAUACUCCUUUUAUCUCUAGCUAGUUUAAAUAAUUGUUAUUUAUUCCACUGACUGAUCAGCCAGUGGGUUAUCUGGUUAGCGAGAAAAAGAGGAUAAUCCAAUCCAUGGCUCAAUGGGUAUCUAUAUAUUGCUAAUAAGGUCUGCAUCGACAUGUAAAUUAUGGAUUAUCCAUUGAACUGUGAAUGAUACUUUCUGUCUUUCCCUCCCUCAAAAAUCUAUAAACGUAUAGGUAGUCCUCAACUUAGAACAGUUUGUUUAGUGACCAUUCAAAGUUACAAUGGCUAGCUGUAUUCUGUCCCUGAACUAUAUAUCCGGACUACAGCCUAACUUUUAUUGCUGGUUUUGAAGUACAAUGCUUUGGAAUUAAUUCUUCAGCUAGGAAUAAUUAUCUGAAUGAUCAAAGAUAGAAAAACCAAGUACUUAUCUUUAUACAGGCAUGCACUAACUGCACAUAUUUGGCAACCAAGAAAUCCAGAUCAACAAAUGCUAUUAGGCAAUUUAGGGGAAAGGGCAGUGCUGAUCCAAGCAGUAAUUUCACAGGAUUCAGACUUCAGCCAUAGGAGAUUGAAAACUGAAGACAAAUAGAGUUGUCCAAAUCUUUACUGAAAUUUUAUACUUCAAAUUCCACCAAAGGAAGCAUUCUUUUGAAGGGUCCAAAAUAAUGGUCUUGUUAUAGGAAGACAAGAGUCUGGUUAAAUAAUAAGUUUCACUUUGUAAGAGUGUGGGAAUUCAACUACUGUAUACAUCUGCUAACUGAGGGAGGUGAUCGGCUCCUCUUCUCAUGGCGGAAUGAAACAAUAACUAAAUUACCUGAUGCUUAAACAAAACCUUUCUGGUGUUCUAAUGGCAGAAACCAGUAAAUAGAUUUGAGGUUUAAGAUUCCUUCCCUUUUUUGUUUUGAUUGAUUCUAUGCCAUUUUAGUGACCACUUAGAUAAAUCUACUACAGGUCCUUUUUCAUCACACUUUUUAAAAGGCUGGUUUUGCUUUUCCAGGCAAGGAGACUCAGAAAGUUUGUUUUUCCUGUUU